rnacentral:rRNA from 1 species
UAGCCUACUUUAGAUGGCGUGAUGGGGACUGAGGAUUGCAGCGGAUGCUUUGCUACGAAUCUUGUCUCUGUCGAUCUUCAAUUAGUUUUCAGCUUGCUGAGCUCGGGUUGAUAGGUUUACAAUAGGUUUGAAUUCGUUAAAUUCGCUAAGGAUGUUGACGUAAUGGCUUUAAACGA